GGGAAAAAUAGCGAUAAAAAAAAGAAAUAAAAAUUUUUCAAGGAAAUAUGUUUUCUAAUAUUCAAGAAGUCCUUCAUUUGAAAUAAAAUCAGAAAGUGUGAACGAUGUAAUAAUAAUAAUACGUGAGAUUUUGAAAUUCAAUCGAUAGAUACAGUUAAAAUCUAUAAAAAGAAAAAAGAAAAAAAGUAUUUGUGAAGUGUAGAAAUUGCUCUGAUUUUUCAUGAAUUUAAAAUGUAGACAGAAUAGAAUGAGGAAGAAGAAAAAAGAAAUAAGAAAAAAAAAAGAUUAAGUAGCGGUAUAUCCUUGAAGCCACGCGCCUUUGGUGCAUCCAGGCAAGAAUUUUAUGGUCUUCCAUAAUGAAGGACUGACUGAUACAAGUUUUUUUGCUUUUUGUAUUUCGUUCCUCCCCGUAGCUUGUAAAUGGUUUCUCUUAUUUUCUUCUUUUUUUUCUUGGACCUUUUUUUUUUAUUUGUCUAUCUCUUUUACUCCUUCCUCUACCGUUUUCAUGUUCCCAAUAGGAUCUAUAGGUGACUACUGAGUUCUGAUGUCCUAUAGUCACGUUUUAUAUCCACUAGGACAAUGUUAAAGUUUAGAAAAAUUGCGAAAAUCUAGGAUUUCCAAUAGAAAUCGAAAUAGAAAUCUUGUAAUAGUACAUAAGGAUAUUUAUGACAAUAUAAUCCUUGUUUUCGAUAGUAUUUUAAUUUUAUUAUUUCCUUUAUUAGGCUCCCGGAGUGUGACCAUCGAAAGUGUAGAGAAACGAAACUUCUAAGGGACACAACUUGUAUCGUAAGCGUGCCGUUACAAGACUAUUUUUACAUAAGAUAGUGGUCGUGUGGCGUACGUCGAGGAUAUGACACACGACUAUACGACGAGGAGAAUACGCGGACAAGGACGACGACGAUGAGGAUAAGGAUGAGGAUAAGGAUGAGGAUAAGGAUGAGGAUAAGGAUGAGGAAGAGAAGGCGACGAGAAUACUGCAGAGAAGUGGUGGGUAGGGUGGGGAGAGGGUGUGUACACAUAAACGGUGUACGAGCGUUAAAGCGGCUUUGCGCCGAUAGCGGCACCUUUGAUCUAUCCGUUGCGUACCUCAGCACGUCCCCACCCCACUCAUUCAACCAGCGAUCCCCCACCUCUUCCCUGUCACUGGCAUAAAAUCGUGAAACGUGCCGACGAAGGUGUCGUACGAGGGCAUAUAAAGUCGUAAGCAGGAAUACCGAGGAGUAAGCGUCGCGACGCCCUGGGGGGACCCUAGAGACAGAAGCUCCGCCCUGUGGAGUCGUGCGCCAACCGGUGCGGUAGGAGGGGCCUCAUCAUGUCGCCUCCAAGGACAGGUAGUCAACUAAAGGCAAGCCGUACAACUUCCGCUACGCUCCUCAACUAAACUUUAGUAUUGCUUGGGCUCUUGUAAUAGAAAGAAGAAGAAGAAGAAUCUUCUUCUUCCUACGUU